GCCAGCUGCUUUCGAUUAUCCUCUCACUCAGUAAUGACGCCCAACCUCCUCUCCCUCAGUAAUGGCGCCCAACCUUCUUUGCCAUAUGUGAUCUUCUCCUCUCCCUCAGUAAUUGCACCCAGAAAAACUCACCAGCCAAGCCGUCUCAACCUCAACCACCGUCUCCGUCACCUCCUUGCCGACGUUGAUGCGCGUUCCUUCUCCUUCUGUAGACCGAAUAAUGGUGGCCGACAGGGUAGGACAGCGAAGAGUAGAGAGAUUUGCAGCAUUUCUUGCUCCAUUGACGUCUGGUCGUGUCAAUAUUGCAGUCAGUUCCAUUUACAUAUCAAAGGUUGGUUUAGCUACCGCUUUAAGGUAUUCUUUGUCAAGGCGAGCCUUUUCUCUAGCAGCAAAUGAACCUGAAGUGUUAUUGCUCGACUAUCCAAGCCACCAGCGCCGACUCUUGCCUCUUCUUGCAAAGACGAUAUCAGAAUGUUCUUCAAGAGAACCGCAAAAUGUACAACAUAAUGCAAGACCUGAAGGGUAAGGUGGACAAGGGACAUCUUCUUAUGAAGACACCUCUUUUAUAGGUCUAUUUUUUCUGACCCUGUGAUCUGUGUCCUAGCGUUGGAUCUGGUUCAAGGUCCUCUUCUUAAAGGUGUUGCGUGCACCAAGUUCCACUCGAAUACGAGUCUCCAUCAACUUUACCGAAUGGCUCUGUGUAUUGUGGUAUAUUGUACUUGAAGAUUUCAACAGAAACAACAGAGUAGCAGCUCCCUAUUAAAAGAAAUGCAGGUUAUGAUGUGCCUUUGAUGUCUGCAGUUCAAGAAUCUGCAAGGUUAUAUGCCUUAGUUUUUUGAUCCGGCUUGUGUCUUGGUUUCGUCUAUUGGCUCCUUUGCACUUCUGUUCUGCUACCUUUUGUUCUGGUACAGUUCAACGUGUUGGUACAAUGUUGUGGUUGUACCUGCUGCUGCUGAUCUUAUGGGCAGACUUCAGAAGCUGCUGACUGCAGUUCAGUUUCCUGGCUCGUUAUUUUCUUUGUGUGGUCCAGUGGCUGCUGUGCAGGCUGGUCCUUUUUCCUGCUGUUGUUUUUGUGCUUCCUCCUGCUGGUGCAAUAUGAUCUUGCUGUUGGUGCUUGUCUUCACGAGUGCAGGUUCUGUUGCUGUUUGGGCUGCAUCAGUUCUUUCCUAUGCAUUUGUGUUGGCUUGCUGGUUGGGUUGUUGCUGUCCUGCUAUUGCUGCUGGUCUUUGCUGGUGCUCGACUGUUGUUAGGCUUUUGCUUUUUUGUUUGUACGGGUUGCGGGUGUGCAACCUAUUCUUUUUUUUCGUUUGUAUUUGUUUAGGACUUUGAUUUUUCUACCUGUUGGUCCUAAAAUAUGUUAUUUACAAAAUAAAAUAAAUAACCCUCUCAGAUAUCAUAGUGAAAAAAAAAAUAAAAAAAAUUAGAUAUCACGGAUUUUAUUAAAUUGUUAACUUAAAUAAAA